UGCUGCUGCCCCUGCUGUCACUGUGUGAAUAGAGAAAGGACAUCAGCUUCAAGGUGAGCACCUGAAGAAGAAAGUUAGCCUAGAGCAUAGGCCCUUUAGUAAUACAGCACAGCUUAAAGUACGGCUCAACCACAGAGACAGCAAGCAGGAUAAGAAUGCAGGUUUAGAUAAUACUAGUAAUACUGCCUGUUAGCCAAUGGCCUCCCAGCAUAGCAGAGAUUACUCUGUCAUAGGGUGCAAACAAUUAAUUUCUUUCCCUUACUUCCUUUUUCUCUAGGACUGGGUCCAAGCCAAAAUCUCACUGCUGAGCUCCUGGGAACUCUGAGAAAGUCUGAAUCAGCGUAUGGAUCCAAACGUUGAGGGGGUAAUUCAAACCGAGGUUGCCCAUGCACCAGUGAAAGGACCGGCAAAGACCUCCAGAAUAGCAGGGGAUGGUUAAAGUGUUGAGCUGGAUCCUCAGGUGGCAUAAGCCGUUGUUGACUUCACUGGGGUUACACCACUUCACACUAACUGGAGACUGGGGCCAUUGGCUUGACAGCCAUAGAAAUUAGAAACGAAUGAACUUCAGACUGCUGGGAAAUCAGAGUCAACUGCUGCCCGUGUCUUCAGUUUGAGCAGGAACACGGAAACAGAAGAAAACGG